UACCUCUCAGGGUCAAACCUAGAGAGUUUCCAGUACUCUACCGGUCUCGACUAUGGGAGGGAAAGUCAAGCAGAGGCCUAUCCAUUCCAAUCCUAGCUCGGUCAGUGGCCAGCGAGUGGAAGGCUAUCUGCUACGAGU